rnacentral:rRNA from 1 species
AUGGAUAACACUAAUUUGUCAUCUUCCCUGAACUUGGAGCAGAGGGCCGCAUACGAUGAGAUACUGGCGGUUGUUGAACACGGUGAUGGGGGUGUAUUCUUUGUUGAUGGCCCUGGAGGUACAGGGAAGACCUUCUUAUACAGGGCGAUGCUUGCCAAGGUGAGGAGCGAGGGAAAGAUUGGUAUGGCUACCGCGACAUCGGGCGUCGCUGCUUCUAUAAUGCCUGGCGGCAGGACUGCCCACUCGAGGUUCAAGAUACCACUGAGUUGCGAUGAUGGUGCCUCGCGUAGCUUCACCAAGCGGAGUGGGACUGCCAAGCUGCUUAGGAUGGCCUCAUUGAUAAUAUGGGACAAGGCCAGCAAGACGAAGCGACAAGCGGUUGAGGCAUUGGACAAUAGCAUGCGUGACAUCAUGGGAAUACGCGACCGACCCUUUGGAGGAAAGACUGUUGUUUUUGGCGGGGACUUUAGGCAGGUGCUUCCGGUUGUCAGAAGGGGGUCGCAGGGCCAGAUAAUUGAUGCAACACUCUGA